AGUGAACGCUGGCGGUAGGCCUAACACAUGCAAGUCGAACGGCAGCACAGUAAGAUCUUGCUCUUACGGGUGGCGAGUGGCGGACGGGUGAGGAAUACAUCGGAAUCUACUUUUUCGUGGGGGAUAACGUAGGGAAACUUACGCUAAUACCGCAUACGACCUACGGGUGAAAGCAGGGGAUCUUCGGACCUUUCGCGAUUGAAUGAGCCGAUGUCGGAUUAGCUAGUUGGCGGGGUAAAGGCCCACCAAGGCAACGAUCCGUAGCUGGUCUGAGAGGAUGAUCAGCCACACUGGAACUGAGACACGGUCCAGACUCCUACGGGAGGCAGCAGUGGGGAAUAUUGGACAAUGGGCGCAAGCCUGAUCCAGCCAUACCGCGUGGGUGAAGAAGGCCUUCGGGUUGUAAAGCCCUUUUGUUGGGAAAGAAAAGCAGCAGGUUAAUACCCCGCUGUUCUGACGGUACCCAAAGAAUAAGCACCGGCUAACUUCGUG
rnacentral:rRNA from 1 species